GAUGAACGCUGGCGGCGUGCUUAACACAUGCAAGUCGAACGGAAAGGCUCCUGCUUGCAGGGGUACUCGAGUGGCGAACGGGUGAGUAACACGUGGGUGAUCUGCCCUGCACUUCGGGAUAAGCCUGGGAAACUGGGUCUAAUACCGGAUAGGACCACAUUUUGGAUGGUGUGGUGGAAAGUUUUUCGGUGUGGGAUGAGCUCGCGGCCUAUCAGCUUGUUGGUGGGGUAAUGGCCUACCAAGGCGUCGACGGGUAGCCGGCCUGAGAGGGUGUACGGCCACAUUGGGACUGAGAUACGGCCCAGACUCCUACGGGAGGCAGCAGUGGGGAAUAUUGCACAAUGGGCGCAAGCCUGAUGCAGCGACACCGCGUGGGGGAUGACGGCCUUCGGGUUGUAAACUCCUUUCGCUAGGGACGAAGCGCAAGUGACGGUACCUGGAGAAGAAGCACCGGCUAACUACGUG
rnacentral:rRNA from 1 species